rnacentral:rRNA from 1 species
AUUGAACGCUGGCGGCAGGCCUAACACAUGCAAGUCGAGCGGAUGAAGGGAGCUUGCUCCUGGAUUCAGCGGCGGACGGGUGAGUAAUGCCUAGGAAUCUGCCUGGUAGUGGGGGAUAACGUCCGGAAACGGGCGCUAAUACCGCAUACGUCCUGAGGGAGAAAGUGGGGGAUCUUCGGACCUCACGCUAUCAGAUGAGCCUAGGUCGGAUUAGCUAGUUGGUGGGGUAAAGGCCUACCAAGGCGACGAUCCGUAACUGGUCUGAGAGGAUGAUCAGUCACACUGGAACUGAGAAACGGUCCAGACUCCUACGGGAGGCAGCAGUGGGGAAUAUUGGACAGUGGGCGAAAGCCUGAUCCAGCCAUGCCGCGUGUGUGAAGAAGGUCUUCGGAUUGUAAAGCACUUUAAGUUGGGAGGAAGGGCUGUAAGUUAAUACCUUGCUGUUUUGACGUUACCAACAGAAUAAGCACCGGCUAACUUCGUG